GAGAGGGUCGAGGACGUGUUUCAACAGAUGGUUGGGGUUAGCGUGUCAUCGCGUUCGAGUGGGGAUUAGUGGAGCCAAGGGCUGCCGAGCCGGAGCUGUGUGGUCUCCUCUUCCCAACUUAAGCAGCCAAGGUGCCUUUUUGUUUUCCGUCGCCUGGGGGAAAGAGUGGGCGCGAAAGAGGGCGCCUUUCCCCCACAGAAAGCAGCAGACAUUCUCCAGCUAUAUUCCAGACAACUGAAGUAUAACCUGAUGUUGUGCCGUUUAUUUCAGAGCUGAUUGCACACUGCAGAAUGCAUGGUUGAUGUUUUGUUCGUUUCAAUCUACAGGCGAG